UACAAAGUGCCUGAUAAAAAGGGUUAUUUUGAUAAGAUAAGCAUAGUGUUUUUAUAGCACUCUUUGUAA
rnacentral:tRNA from 1 species